rnacentral:misc_RNA from 1 species
GUUGCAUUUCUUGUGAUCUUUGGCACUCUAUUGCAUUCUCAAGUGGCUAGUGGGAUUCGGUUUGUUAUAGAUAGAGAGGAAUGCUUCUCCCAUUCAGUUCCAUAUGAAGGAGAUACGGUUCAUGUGUCCUUUGUUGUGAUCAAAGCUGAGACUCCAUGGCAUUAUGGUGAUGAAGGUGUUGAUCUUGUGGUCAAAGGUCCUUCAGGUGAUCAGAUUCGUGAUGCACGUGACAAGACGAGCGACAAGUUUGAAUUUGU